rnacentral:rRNA from 1 species
GUUAUAUGGUCAAGUGAAGAAGCGCAUACGGUGGAUGCCUUGGCAGUCAGAGGCGAUGAAAGACGUGGUAGCCUGCGAAAAGCUUCGGGGAGUCGGCAAACAGACUUUGAUCCGGAGAUCUCUGAAUGGGGGAACCCACCUAGGAUAACCUAGGUAUCUUGUACUGAAUCCAUAGGUGCAAGAGGCGAACCAGGGGAACUGAAACAUCUAAGUACCCUGAGGAAAAGAAAUCAACCGAGAUUCCCUUAGUAGUGGCGAGCGAACGGGGAUUAGCCCUUAAGCUUCAUUGAUUUUAGCGGAACGCUCUGGAAAGUGCGGCCAUAGUGGGUGAUAGCCCCGUACGCGAAAGGAUCUUUGAAGUGAAAUCGAGUAGGACGGAGCACGAGAAACUUUGUCUGAACAUGGGGGGACCAUCCUCCAAGGCUAAAUACUACUGACUGACCGAUAGUGAACCAGUACCGUGAGGGAAAGGCGAAAAGAACCCCGGAGAGGGGAGUGAAAUAGAACCUGAAACCGUAUGCGUACAAGCAGUGGGAGCCUACUUGUUAGGUGACUGCGUACCUUUUGUAUAAUGGGUCAGCGACUUAUAUUCAGUGGCAAGCUUAACCGUAUAGGGUAGGCGUAGCGAAAGCGAGUCUUAAUAGGGCGUUUAGUCGCUGGGUAUAGACCCGAAACCGGGCGAUCUAUCCAUGAGCAGGUUGAAGGUUAGGUAACACUGACUGGAGGACCGAACCCACUCCCGUUGAAAAGGUAGGGGAUGACUUGUGGAUCGGAGUGAAAGGCUAAUCAAGCUCGGAGAUAGCUGGUUCUCCUCGAAAGCUAUUUAGGUAGCGCCUCAUGUAUCACUCUGGGGGGUAGAGCACUGUUUCGGCUAGGGGGUCAUCCCGACUUACCAAACCGAUGCAAACUCCGAAUACCCAGAAGUGCCGAGCAUGGGAGACACACGGCGGGUGCUAACGUCCGUCGUGAAAAGGGAAACAACCCAGACCGCCAGCUAAGGUCCCAAAGUUGUGGUUAAGUGGUAAACGAUGUGGGAAGGCUUAGACAGCUAGGAGGUUGGCUUAGAAGCAGCCAUCCUUUAAAGAAAGCGUAAUAGCUCACUAGUCGAGUCGGCCUGCGCGGAAGAUGUAACGGGGCUCAAACCACACACCGAAGCUGCGGGUGUCACGUAAGUGACGCGGUAGAGGAGCGUUCUGUAAGCCUGUGAAGGUGAGUUGAGAAGCUUGCUGGAGGUAUCAGAAGUGCGAAUGCUGACAUGAGUAACGACAAUGGGUGUGAAAAACACCCACGCCGAAAGACCAAGGGUUCCUGCGCAACGUUAAUCGACGCAGGGUUAGUCGGUUCCUAAGGCGAGGCUGAAAAGCGUAGUCGAUGGGAAACAGGUUAAUAUUCCUGUACUUCUGGUUACUGCGAUGGAGGGACGGAGAAGGCUAGGCCAGCUUGGCGUUGGUUGUCCAAGUUUAAGGUGGUAGGCUGAAAUCUUAGGUAAAUCCGGGGUUUCAAGGCCGAGAGCUGAUGACGAGUCGUCUUUUAGAUGACGAAGUGGUUGAUGCCAUGCUUCCAAGAAAAGCUUCUAAGCUUCAGGUAACCAGGAACCGUACCCCAAACCGACACAGGUGGUCGGGUAGAGAAUACCAAGGCGCUUGAGAGAACUCGGGUGAAGGAACUAGGCAAAAUGGCACCGUAACUUCGGGAGAAGGUGCGCCGGCUAGGGUGAAGGAUUUACUCCGUAAGCUCUGGCUGGUCGAAGAUACCAG